rnacentral:rRNA from 1 species
CCUACGGGAGGCAGCAGUGGGGAAUCUUGCACAAUGGAGGAAACUCCGAUGCAGCGAUGCCGCGUGAGUGAAGAAGGCCUUUGGGUUGUAAAGCUCUUUUGUAGGGGAAGAUAAUGACUGUACCCUAAGAAUAAGGUCCGGCUAACUUCGUGCCAGCAGCCGCGGUAAUACGAAGGGACCUAGCGUAGUUCGGAAUUACUGGGCGUAAAGCGCGCGUAGGCCGUUGAGUUAGUUAAUUGUGAAAUCCCAAAGCUUAACUUUGGAACUGCAAUUAAAACUGCUCGACUAGAGUUUGAUAGAGGAAAGCGGAAUACAUAGUGUAGAGGUGAAAUUCGUAGAUAUUAUGUAGAACACCAGUUGCGAAGGCGGCUUUCUGGAUCAACACUGACGCUGAGGCGCGAAAGUAUGGGUAGCAAAGAGGAUUAGAUACCCUCGUAGUCCAUACCAUAAACGAUGAUUGCUAGAUGUUGGAAAUUUAUUUUCAGUAUCGCAGCUAACGCAUUAAGCAAUCCGCCUGGGGAGUACGACCGCAAGGUUAAAACUUAAAUGAAUUGACGG